rfam:Myotis davidii contig190821, whole genome shotgun sequence.
GGUGGUUCUUGGGUGACACACCCCAGAUCCAGAGAAGAGGUAGCCUGAUUCUGGGGUGUGUCACCUGAGAACCGCC